UAAGGCAAGCAUGCUCUCUUUGCUGAGUGUGAUGGCACCUGCCUGUAGUCCUGUCUUUACCAGUUUUGAUAAAAAAAAAAAUAUGGCAAAUGCUGCUGCCAAGUAACAUCCAACAGCAAAUCAGGCUUAUAAAAUGUGAUACUGUGUCCUCCUCCACCUUGUUCCCAGGCCUGGCAUCAUGCGGCUUCUGACUCUUCCCCAGACUGAAAAUAACCAUGACAGCCAUGAUGGAGCAACUUUAGGCACUCAUGAAAGAAGACUCUCAGAACUGCUUCAGAAAGUGGCAAGAACGAUGGGGAACGGCCCUGCACAUCUCCUCCUUACAUGUGUCUGCUUCUUGGUGCACUCUGGAGCCUCCUUCCUCCGCGUCAGAGCCACCACUUUCCUAACUGUUCCCCCUGGUGUUUCACAUGUGCUGAGUCAUGGAUGGGCAGUAAAGCAUCCUCACUCCUCCUUCCACCUGCUCCAGCUCUGGCUUCCUUGAACAAAGCUCACAACCACAAACCUGGAUUCUCCAGAAGCCUUAUGAGGCUGCAUAAUGCUGCUGCCACCUCUGCCCCAACUUGUGGGUCCCUGACACCUGCUUCCUAUGGAUGGCCCAGAAGUCAGGGCACACCAGAACCCCAGGAUGGCCAGGAGUGACACCUGGUACAGACACACAUAUACAGGACAGGCUUGGUGCUGUGGUCAGCCCCCUGCUUCUGCUUUGUCCAAGGCUGUGGUGUUGAGCUGCCUUGUGCUUCUCUUAUGAGAAGAGGCCUUUUUCUUUUCACCCGCCAUCUCCUUCCCUUAAGAACUUGGACCCACUUCUGAGCUAAAGAAAUGGCUCCAUGACUGCUACGGUUAGAUCUAAAAUAGUCCCCAGGGCCUCACAUGCUUUCAUCAUUGGCAUCACAGCUGACUGGCUGGUAGGAGGUCAGGUCUGGCGGAAAGAUGUGGUCACCAGGGAUGUGGCCUGGGAAGGCUCCUCUCCCUCCCCAGCUCCUCCUUUUCUCCCUACUUCCUGUCUCUCAUGCUGUGAGCAGCUCUCUUUCCCCAGACCCCUCUGCCAGGCCACCCUGCCUUAGAACCAGUGGUUUACAGACUGAAACCCAAGUCAAAGUGAACCUCUCCCUUUAGUUGCACGUGUUGGGUAUUUCACUCCAGCAAUGGGAAAAAUGACCCAGACUCACAGAUGAUGCUGCCUUUAAAUUGCACUUCUCUUAUGACAUCGAAGGAGCCUGGCUUUCUUACCUAUUCGAUGAAUGUGUUCUUAAAAGCUCCUUAAUCCUUUAAUCAAAGAGUCUUCUUGUGAGUUCCUACAACAUUUAAAUUCUAUAGCUAUGGUACCAUAGGCUUAAAUGGGGUCUACCGGAUUGUGGGCUGCUAGCUGGGUUGUUUGGUUUGUUUCGUGUGUGUGUGUAUGUUUGUGUGUGUGUGUACCUGUGUGCACCUGACAUCUCAGCCAUCCUGAUCCAUGCCAUACCUCACCUGUCACUGCCCACAAGAUCACCCCUGUUGCUUCAGCUCUCUGCCUCCACUUCCUAAUAUUGUCUAUCACUACUGUUUCUGCUUGACUCUCUUUCAUCUACCUUUCUUUCUUUCUCUGUUUUUUUUUCCUCCUUUCAUUUUUGGUCAUUCUGUAUUUCAAGGCCUUUGGGGACAUUUCUAGGGCCGACUUUGUACUCAAUUACAAAUUCACAGACACUGGGACAGCACAGUAAGACUUACAAUCCCCAGGCGGUGCCAUCCAAGUUCAGGAAGCAGGAAACGAAACUAGCUGUUGUUUACGCCAGAGGAGCAGCUCCUAGUAGACUUGGGAGAGUGCCAGAAAAACACGAAUGGCCACGUUGGUUGACAUUUUUAGACUGACAAAUGUACACAGACCCAAAAUAGGCUGAGUGGUGACAGCAGACACUGUUGCUUCUAGCCGAGCUGUCUGCAUUUUUUGGCUGACCCUGCACCCGUCCUCUUCUUUCAGUGGGCUUUUACCUCUAACAGCUUGCAAGGGAGGUGCUCUCCUUGGACACGCCCCUGCAUGCCUGGAACACUCCCCGGAUGUGCGGAACCCAGGAUCCUAAGCCUCCCUAGGCCACCCUGGUCCCCAGAUCAACUGGGUUGGGGGAAGGGAAGCACAGCUCCUUUGCCUGAGGUUGGGACAAUUUUAAAAGACUUGUAGAGAGUUAUGCCAUACUGCUGUCUGAUGGAAACAUUAAAUACUGAACAUGAACAUGUUUAUUAAACAUGAAAUGUUUAAUAAAAUUCUCAUGAAAUUCUCAA